GUCUAUGGCCAUACUACCUUGACCGUGCCCGAUAGCUUCUGAUCUCAGAAGCUAAACAGGAUCAGGCCUGUUAGUAUUUGGAUAGGAGACCACUUAGGAAGACCAGGUGCUCUAGGCA
ensembl:rRNA 5S_rRNA 5S ribosomal RNA